rnacentral:rRNA from 1 species
GAUGAACGCUGGCGGCGUGCCUAAUACAUGCAAGUCGAGCGAACAGACGAGGAGCUUGCUCCUCUGACGUUAGCGGCGGACGGGUGAGUAACACGUGGAUAACCUACCUAUAAGACUGGGAUAACUUCGGGAAACCGGAGCUAAUACCGGAUAAUAUAUUGAACCGCAUGGUUCAAUAGUGAAAGACGGUUUUGCUGUCACUUAUAGAUGGAUCCGCGCCGCAUUAGCUAGUUGGUAAGGUAACGACUUACCAAGGCAACGAUGCGUAGCCGACCUGAGAGGGUGAUCGGCCACACUGGAACUGAGACACGGUCCAGACUCCUACGGGAGGCAGCAGUAGGGAAUCUUCCGCAAUGGGCGAAAGCCUGACGGAGCAACGCCGCGUGAGUGAUGAAGGUCUUCGGAUCGUAAAACUCUGUUAUUAGGGAAGAACAAAUGUGUAAGUAACUAUGCACGUCUUGACGGUACCUAAUCAGAAAGCCACGGCUAACUAGGUG